ACAUCCAAGAUGGCGUCCCCAGGAGCUGGGAGCGGGUGACCGGCGGCGGGGAAGCGGCCUGGGUUGGCCCUCAGAUUGCGGGGUCUGGGGGCAUCUCGCCGGGCAAACCCUUGGCCCGCCUACAAGGACUUCCCCCGGCCAGAGCAAUGGCCGCUGAGAACAGCAAGCAGUUUUGGAAGAGGAGCGCUAAGCUGCCGGGGAGCAUUCAGCCUGUAUAUGGAGCACAGCAUCCUCCUCUUGACCCACGGCUCACCAAAAAUUUCAUUAAAGAACGAUCAAAAGUCAACACAGUUCCUCUGAAGAAUAAGAAGGCCUCCAGUUUUCAUGAGUUUGCACGGAAUACCAGUGAUGCUUGGGACAUUGGCGAUGAUGAGGAAGAGGACUUUUCCUCACCUUCUUUCCAAACUCUGAACUCAAAAGUUGCUUUGGCAACUGCAGCCCAAGUUCUAGAAAACCACAGCAAGCUGAGAGUAAAACCAGAACGGUCCCAGUCAACGACAUCGGACGUCCCUGCCAACUACAAGGUCAUAAAGUCCAGCAGUGAUGCCCAGCUGUCCAGAAACUCUAGUGAUACAUGCCUGAGGAACCCACUCCACAAACAGCAAUCACUCCCUCUCCGGCCCAUCAUCCCCCUCGUUGCCCGGAUCUCGGAUCAGAACGCUUCUGGGGCCCCCCCAAUGACUGUCCGGGAGAAAACCCGCCUAGAAAAAUUCCGUCAACUUCUCUCCAGCCAGAACACUGACUUAGAUGAACUGAGGAAGUGUAGCUGGCCAGGGGUUCCCAGGGAGGUUCGACCUAUAACCUGGAGACUCCUGUCGGUGAGUUCUACCCACUGUGUAGAGAAAUGUGAGCCUCACACAGCCCUUCUUGCCUGAUGAGGGCUAUCUCCCAGCAAACACUGAGAGGAGGAAGUUGACCCUGCAGCGGAAGCGGGAGGAAUAUUUUGGCUUCAUUGAACAGUAUUAUGACUCUCGAAACGAGGAACAUCACCAGGAUACCUACAGACAGAUUCACAUUGACAUUCCAAGGACGAAUCCUCUCAUUCCGUUGUUCCAGCAACCACUUGUACAGGAGAUCUUUGAAAGAAUUCUAUUUAUUUGGGCCAUCCGCCACCCUGCCAGUGGGUAUGUCCAGGGAAUUAAUGACCUGGUCACUCCAUUCUUUGUCGUCUUCCUCUCAGAAUAUGUGGAAGAGGAUGUGGAGAACUUUGACGUGACCAACUUGUCUCAAGACAUGCUGCGAAGCAUUGAGGCUGACAGCUUUUGGUGCAUGAGCAAGCUGCUGGAUGGAAUCCAGGAUAACUACACCUUUGCACAACCAGGAAUCCAGAAGAAGGUGAAGGCACUGGAAGAGCUUGUCAGCCGGAUUGAUGAGCAGGUACAUAAUCACUUCAGGAGGUACGAGGUAGAAUACCUGCAGUUUGCCUUCCGCUGGAUGAACAACCUGCUUAUGCGGGAGCUUCCUCUUCGCUGCACCAUCCGCCUGUGGGACACAUAUCAGUCUGAACCAGAAGGGUUCUCCCACUUUCAUCUCUACGUGUGUGCAGCCUUCUUGAUCAAGUGGAGGAAAGAGAUCUUGGAUGAGGAGGAUUUUCAGGGUCUCCUCAUGCUGCUACAGAACCUACCUACAAUACACUGGGGCAACGAAGAAAUUGGGCUGCUUCUCGCCGAGGCAUACAGACUCAAGUACAUGUUUGCCGAUGCCCCAAAUCACUACCGCCGAUAGGUGCUGUCUCCUCCGGGGACCCAGACUGCCUUCAUCUCUGAUGGCAGUCUGAUCACUGUGGCCACUGUGCGAGCCGUGGACCCCGGCCAGGAACCACUCCUGUUGUACAAAGCUCACACCCACCGCCCAGGUCUUAACUUUCUGGCAUCCACCACUCCAUGUCUCUGGAUGUGUCACUUGGACCACUGUCAGUAUUCCAUGCCGCGUGGAUGGGCCCAGUUCUGGGAGAGGACAGAAAAGGUGGUACAGGGUUGUCUGCCCCUUUAAAAGAAACUGGACAAAGAAGGGGAAGGCUCAGGGUCUCACCUCACAUUGUCCCUACAAGGACAGGCCCCAACUGAUAACCGUUGCUUUUUUUUUUUUGUGAACAUAGUUUGAUUUGAUCACAGGUCAAAAACGCCUUAUAUUUUCGAAAGACUCCUGGCCCCUCUUCCCUCUUCCUGGUUUCCUAGCCGUUCCCCUUCUGCCCCAGUCUGAGCCAGUGAGGGGUAGCUUUUUAAAACCAUUAUUCUAGAUGGAGGAGGCACUGAUGCUUGUAACUCUGGAAAGAGGCCUACACCCAAGGGCUAGGAAUUUUAUUUUUCCUUUUCUCACCAGGUGUCUGCAUGUGUGUGUGGGUGUGAAUGUGUAUACAUGCCCAUCAGCAUUUAGUCACAUGUCUGAAUUUCUGUGUCCAGACGAGCCCCAUCAAACUAGUUGGGAAGGGCCCCAGUGACCAAGUGUAUAAGCAUCCCUUGAAGAGGGAUUGGGGCAGGGGAGGCAGAAGGGGCUCUCCAGACCCCUUUUCCAUGAUGACCCACUCCAAGAUAUUAUGUGUAAAUUGUGUUAUUAUGUAUAUGGGUAAAGAUGUACAAAUAUAUGUCCUCUUUGUAGCAGAUAUGAUUUUAUAUUUAUAAUGUGCAUCAACAUGUGAAAGCAAUCUAGGUCACUAGCACAGAGGAAGUUGCCAGGAAGGUGGCUUCAGCACCUCCAGGUUGGUUCUGGGUGUCCUGCUGUGAGGGGUAGAACGGGAGGCUGCUGAAGUGAGUAGCUGAGCAGCUGGAGCCAUCCCAAGCAUCAGUGUCUCAGAGUCCUCCUCGCCCCUUUCUUCACCCCGCCCCCCAACCCCCAGACUUUCCUGGAGCAUCUGCCCUUUGCUCCUAGCAGCCUCCCCAGGAAGGGACUGCAGAGGCGGGCAAGCCCUCUCUAUGUGUUUUUAUCCCCACCUUCCCCGGAAUCUGGGGAGGGCUUUUGUUUUUACGUUUUCAAGUUCAGCAUUGUAUUCGGACAGAAGCUGUGACUGAAGACUCAGUGCCAAGGAAAGGGGCUUCUUGUGUGUCCCUCGGGUUUGGGGCUCUUCUCAGAGAGCAGCACUCCAUAUCCCUUACUGUCACCUUCACUCCCCACACAGCUCAUGAGAUGUGUGACCCCUGUUUGAGUUUUGGUAUUUGGUAGUGGAGGGUGGGGGGAUGGGGGCCAGCAGCUGUCAUCCUCCUGGGAAGCCGAGCAGUGUCCCUGGUGGGUAACACCCUCAAGUCUCUUUGCCAGUGAGGCCCCACCACAUCGGUGUGAGUUAGGUUUCUCAUCUGGAGCUGUUUCUCAGGCAUUCUUCCCAACCCUCUUCCUUUUCCCCUUCGGUGUGCCUCAGUGGUCUCCUUCAUAGAGUGAGAGGGCUUGAGACCCUCCCUCAACCGGACUAAUUAAAGAAAGACACUUGUGUUCCCAAGUGGUGGUUUUAUUUUUUUAGUUUUUAUGUUUGUAUGGGAAAUUGUGGAUAAAGUGAAAAGAAUUGUAAAUAAAUGGUGUAUUUCCUCCUCCA